GGAUGCUCCGGUUACUUCAGUGUCCAAUCUCCGUGGCAACUAGGAUGAGCAGCAAUUACACCGCGAUGGCAGAAUAAAAAAUAAAGCUUCAGCUCCUAAGAAGAUAAGACAGGGAGAUCAUGAGAAGAUUGGAACAGAGACCAAUUUUGCUGUACCCACAGUGUACCAAAGAGUAUAAAGAAGGAAGCACAAAAGGAACUCUCUCAGAGUGACUACCAGAGACUAUACUAUUGAAGCAACAAAAAGCUAAGUUAGCCUCUAUGUUACAAAUAAGUGUACUUCAAUAUCGGACCUGAUGAUGUAAAGUGAUACAUAUUUUGUUGUCAUAAAGUUUUAAACAAAACAUUUUGAUACAUUGUAUUAGUCAUAACCACCAGGGGGCAUUGUUAAGGUGCGUAUUUAAGGAAGUUAUUAUUAUUAUUAUUAUUAUUAACAUGUAUUUAUAUAGCGCCAACA